AUUGAACGCUGGCGGCAGGCUUAACACAUGCAAGUCGAGCGGGGAAGGGUAGCUUGCUACCUAACCUAGCGGCGGACGGGUGAGUAAUGCUUAGGAAUCUGCCUAUUAGUGGGGGACAACAUUCCGAAAGGAAUGCUAAUACCGCAUACGCCCUACGGGGGAAAGCAGGGGAUCUUCGGACCUUGCGCUAAUAGAUGAGCCUAAGUCAGAUUAGCUAGUUGGUGGGGUAAAGGCCUACCAAGGCGACGAUCUGUAGCGGUUCUGAGAGGAUGAUCCGCCGCACUGGGACUGAGACACGGCCCAGACUCCUACGGGAGGCAGCAGUGGUGAAUAUUGGACAAUGGGGGGAACCCUGAUCCAGCCAUGCCGCGUGUGUGAAGAAGGCCUUUUGGUUGUAAAGCACUUUAAGCGAGGAGGAGGCUUACCUGGUUAAUACCUGGGCUAAGUGACGUUACUCGCAGAAUAAGCACCGGCUAACUCUGUGCCAGCCGCAGCAGUAA
rnacentral:rRNA from 1 species